UCUCCCUCCCCAGGUAAGAAGAGCCCCGCUGGUCUACACUCUCGCCUCUUUCAUGAGUUUGAAGGCGACGCCAGCAACGCAAGCAUCGGCUCAGGGGAAGGCACCGAGGAGGAUGACGAUGGCAGCAAGAAGAACCAGAAGAAAAGGGGCAUCUUCCCUAAAGUGGCCACCAACAUCCUCCGGGCCUGGCUCUUCCAACACCUCACACAUCCGUACCCCUCGGAGGACCAGAAGAAACAGCUGGCUCAGGACACGGGCCUAACCAUCCUGCAGGUCAACAACUGGUGAGUACAGCAGCAUCCUCUUGCCCCACACGAGUCAUGACCUCCACUCGCGCCACGAAGGAACUCACUCACUCACGCGUUCACUCACUCACUCACUUGGACUGGAGGCGAGUAUGUCCACGGUAAAUAUUGUCAGUACCGCCUCGCUCACUUGAAUGGAAAAAAAGGACCUCCAGUACCCCCCUUCCCUCUCCCUUCUCCCCCCCUCUCCCCCUUUCCUCCUCAACCACCACCUCUCAAUCUCUCCCCAAAAUUUCCGUGUACUUACCAAGCGGCUGUCUGUCCGUCUGUCUGUCCGCUUGCCUGCCUUCAUGUCUGUCUGUUUGUCCGUUCCCUCCCUCCCCUCCUCUCCUCUCCCUUCCCUCCCUCCAGUCCCUUCUCCACUCCUCCACCUCUUGGCGCGAGUUCAAGGUCAUGAUGUGGACUCUUCCUUUUUUUUUUUCUCUUUUUUUUUUUUUAGUAUUAGUGUUUAUUUACCGCGUGGAAUUGAAAGAGCCGCGCCCCGUUUUCUAUGCUGUAGCGUCCAUGCACGUGCCCGGCUUCGAAGCGGGGACA